rnacentral:rRNA from 1 species
CAGCCCCAUGCGACAGAGACGGUGCGGAAUUCCGUGGCGAGAAUGCACGGCGCCAGAGCAGAGAAAUAGUUGCCGUCACGGGCGGCAGCGUAGGGCACGCGCGAGUAGCCGAGCAGCAGGGAGAAGACGGAAGAAAAGGCACUCCAGAGAAUCAGCGUGGCCAGGGCACGGCCAGCGGAGUGUCCAAAGGCCGAUUGGGCGAUAUCGGCCACCAAGGCGAGACGGGAUGGAGCCACGGGGCCGUGCCUGCGGUCGAAACCGGACCGAUGGCGGGUAGGACAAGCCAGGUUCAUGGCGAUGUAGAAAGCAGCCACGACAAGGAUGGAAACUCAGGAUGGCGCGGGGGUAUGGUUUUUCCGGUUUAACGGACUUCGGAGCCGAGGAACCAGAUGUUGUAAUAACCCCAGAAGUCGUUAACAAGGUAC